rnacentral:rRNA from 1 species
AUUGAACGCUGGCGGCAUGCCUAACACAUGCAAGUCGAGCGGAGCGGCGGACGGGUGAGUAAUGCCUAGGAACCUGCCUGGUAGUGGGGGAUAACUUCCGGAAACGGGAGCUAAUACCGCAUACUAUCAGAUGAGCCUAGGUCGGAUUAGCUAGUUGGUGGGGUAACGGCCUACCAAGGCGACGAUCCGUAACUGGUCUGAGAGGAUGACCAGUCACACUGGAACUGAGACACGGUCCAGACUCCUACGGGAGGCAGCAGUGGGGAAUUUUGGACAAUGGGUGAAAGCCUGAUCCAGCCAUCCCGCGUGUGUGAAGAAGGUCUUCGGAUUGUAAAGCACUUUAAGUUGGGAGGCGUUACCAGCAGAAUAAGCACCGGCUAACUACGUGCCAGCAGCCGCGGUAAUUC